CACGUAGGGUGCGAGCGUUGUCCGGAAUUAUUGGGCGUAAAGAGCUCGUAGGCGGUGUGUCGCGUCGGCCGUGAAAACCUGCAGCUUAACUGUGGGCUUGCGGUCGAUACGGGCAUCACUGGAGUUCGGCAGGGGAGGCUGGAAUUCCUGGUGUAGCGGUGAAAUGCGCAGAUAUCUGGAGGAACACCGGUGGCGAAGGCGGCAUCCUGGACCAACACUGACACUGAGGAGCGAAAGCCAGGGGAGCAAACGGG
rnacentral:rRNA from 1 species